rnacentral:rRNA from 1 species
CAGCCGCCGCGGUAAUACAGAGGGUGCAAGCGUUAAUCGGAAUUACUGGGCGUAAAGCGCGCGUAGGUGGUUCGCCAAGUUGGAUGUGAAAUCCCCGGGCUCAACCUGGGAACUGCAUCCAAAACUGGCGAGCUAGAGUAUGGUAGAGGGUGGUGGAAUUUCCUGUGUAGCGGUGAAAUGCGUAGAUAUAGGAAGGAACAUCAGUGGCGAAGGCGACCACCUGGACUGAUACUGACACUGAGGUGCGAAAGCGUGGGGAGCAAACAGGAUUAGAUACCCCAGUAGUCCCUGUCUCUUAUAC